CCUACGGGUGGCUGCAGUGGGGAAUAUUGGACAAUGGGGGCAACCCUGAUCCAGCAAUACCGCGUGUGUGAAGAAGGCCUGCGGGUUGUAAAGCACUUUCAAUUGUGAAGAAAAGCUUAGGAUUAAUACUCCUGGGUCUUGACGUUAACUUUAGAAGAAGCACCAGCUAACCCUGUGCCAGCAGCCGCGGUAAUACAGGGGGUGCAAGCGUUAAUCGGAAUUACUGGGCGUAAAGCGCGCGUAGGCGGUUUGUUAAGUCAGAUGUGAAAGCCCUGGGCUCAACCUGGGAACUGCAUUUGAAACUGGCAGGCUAGAGUAUGGUAGAGGAAAGUGGAAUUUCGGGUGUAGCGGUGAAAUGCGUAGAUAUCCGAAGGAACAUCAGUGGCGAAGGCGACUUUCUGGACCAAUACUGACGCUGAGGUGCGAAAGCGUGGGGGGCAAACAGGAUUAGAUACCCUAGUAGUC
rnacentral:rRNA from 1 species